UGGUCCCUGAAAAGAAGUUGCCCAUGUUAUUUUCGCUUGAUAUGUGACGAAACAAACAUGGUGCACUUCUUUUUCGGUAUCA
ensembl:miRNA